AUUGAACGCUGGCGGCAGGCCUAACACAUGCAAGUCGAGCGGAUGAAGGGAGCUUGCUCCUGGAUUCAGCGGCGGACGGGUGAGUAAUGCCUAGGAAUCUGCCUGGUAGUGGGGGAUAACGUCCGGAAACGGGCGCUAAUACCGCAUACGUCCUGAGGGAGAAAGUGGGGGAUCUUCGGACCUCACGCUAUCAGAUGAGCCUAGGUCGGAUUAGCUAGUUGGUGGGGUAAAGGCCUACCAAGGCGACGAUCCGUAACUGGUCUGAGAGGAUGAUCAGUCACACUGGAAAUGGGAAACGGUCCAGACUCCUAAGGGAGGCAGCAGUGGGGAAUAUUGGGCCAUGGGCGAAAGCCUGAUCCAGCCAUGCCGCGUGUGUGAAGAAGGUCUUCGGAUUGUAAAGCACUUUAAGUUGGGAGGAAGGGCAGUAAGUUAAUACCUUGCUGUUUUGACGUUACCAACAGAAUAAGCACCGGCUAACUUCGUG
rnacentral:rRNA from 1 species